rnacentral:rRNA from 1 species
CAGUAGCCGCGGGAAAACGGAGGGGGCUAGCGUUGUUCGGAAUUACUGGGCGUAAAGCGCACGUAGGCGGCUUGGUAAGUUAGAGGUGAAAGCCUGGAGCUCAACUCCAGAAUUGCCUUUAAGACUGCCGAGCUAGCAGGUGAGAGAGGUAAGUGGAAUUCCGAGUGUAGAGGCGAAAUUCGUAGAUAUUCGGAAGAACACCAGUGGCGAAGGCGGCUUACUGGCUCAUACUGGACGCUGAGGUGCGAAAGCGUGGGGAGCAAACAGGAUUAGAUACCCCAGUAGUCCCUGUCUCUUAUAC